UAUGGUGCCCCAACCCAAGACUAGGUAAUGAUGCACCUUCAUUAAAGGCUUUAAUGAAGAAGCCAGCAUCAAAUCUUCUCGAUGAUCAGCCGAAAGAAAACAACCGGCUACCUCUCAUAAGACAACUUCAAAGAAGACCAGGACUACUUCUUCUAAGCAACUCAAAUCUUUAGCCGAUGCAGCUAUCAAGGAUGUUGCUCAGAAAUCUAUUGUUGAAAAGGAACCUGAACUUCUUGAUCCUUUAGAUGAUGUAUCACCAGCAGCGACCAUGAUGUCAAUCCUGACCUAGGCAACAUUCCAGAAGUAUCUUUAGAGUUACUGCUCCAUGUUGUGAUGAAUUCACGACGGUGAAGGGUCCUUCCCAUUUGCUCCUUAAUUUUUGAAGCCUGAAUAACUUGAACCUGGAAUUAAAAACGGCUUCAAAAUCCAUAUUCCAUCUUUUGAUAGCCUAGUGAGCUUUAUGUUCUAGUUCAACUGGCAAGUGACAGGUCUUACCAUAUACUAAUUGAUAUGGUGACAUACCCAAAGGUGUUUUAUAAGCUGUCCGGUAUGCCCAUAGUGCAUUUGGUAACUGAUCCUUCCAUAAAGUUCCCAUCUCAUUUACUGUU